rnacentral:lncRNA from 1 species
GCUGUGAUAAGUGUAUUUUUGUAAUUAUGUGUCCUUUAAUACAUCUGAUUAGUUUUGAGAUACCACACUUUGAAUACAUAUUUCUGGUAGAAUUUCCCAACUUAUCUAUUGGGAAUAUUGCAAUCUGAAUUUUUCGUUGAAUCAUAAGAGAAACAGAUUCUGCCCCUAAUCAACUUAAGAAUAAAAUGUAUCUACACUCGGUAGAUAUAUUUAUAAAGAAUUAAAAAAAAGAAAUGCUCAGUAAGCAAUGUAAUUUCUAUAAUUUUGAAAAUAAA